CAAAAAAUAGAAGCAAAUGAGAGCAUCAUACACUGUGUACAUUUUGUUCCCUGAUCCCAUGGGACUAGAGACCAACGCAUAAGGAUAACAUUGCUGAGGGAGAGUUGUUACCUAAAUGUGAUACGUAUUUAUAUAUUAUUCUCUUUUGUUUCUCUAAGAGGAAUCUGGUGCCUUUGAAUCUGGGCAAGCAAGUGAGGAGCUUAGUGGAGAAGCAAGUGGGGAACCUAGUGGACAAGUCAGUGGAGAGUUAGGCUGGGAGCCCAGUGGGCAACCUAUGGGUCAAUCCAGCCUCCCUGAAGAAAGCAGUGGAAGUGGAUCUGACCCCUCAUAUGAAAUAGAUUGAAGUGGAUGAAAUGUCCCCCCCGACUCCCUUCACAUCAUCAGCUGCAUUGAAGGAAAAUUCAAGCUUCAAAAUGAGAAACACAACUUCACCCUUGAGAAAUGAGUGUGUAGAGCAUUAGAAAGAGUGCUGAUGAGUUUGUUAAAUUUCUAAUAUUUGUGAUUAUUCUCUUAAUAAAGUAUUUAGG